GGGGGGGGGGGGGGGGGGGGGGGGGGGGGGGGGGGGGGGGGGGGGGGGGGGGGGGGGGGGGGGGGGCCGAGCCCGGCUCCCGGGCAGCGCUGGGCUCCGGGCCGCGUCCCCUUCCCUGCCCCGCUGCUCCCCGGGGCGCCCGCCGGGCCUUGGAGCCGAGCCCUGCCCGCCCGUGCCCGCGCUGCCGUGCGUGUGCUGCAGGGAAAGCCGGAGGAGGAGGAAGAGGAUCCGUUCACGCUAGGAUGAUAAAAAGCCAAGGUGUCGGGUGGUCUAUGGAUGGAUAAGGAGUGAAAGCAGGAAACAGUUGUCACAACUCGCCUGUCAAAAUCAAUUUACUAGUUUUUAGGCUCAGCUAUUUGGAAGAUAAACCCCAGCCACAAAUGAUGGCUCAUCGAUUUUCAAAGGAAGAUUUAGAUGCGCAGUUUGAAGAGUUUCUGAAAGAGUCUCUUUCAGAUGAUUCACUUGGAAAUUCAAAGAAAAAGUCCAGCAUUCUUGAGAAAUUGGGACAGCCCAGGAAAAAAGAAAAGAAGAAAAAGGAUUCAGUGCCAUGGUGGUUAUCUGAGGAAGAUUCAGAUGAUGGUGGAAUUCUUGAAGCCAAUGGAAACUUUGUCAAGAUGCAGAACACUUCACAGCCUGUGGGAGAAAGCCAUGAAAAUAUGGAUGUAGAAAAGAUGCAGCUUCAGAAAAGUAAUGGAGAUGCUGUUGCUUUGAGUAGAGACAGCCUGGAAGCAAAUGAUUCAGUUUUAGCUUCCGGGCCUAAUCAAAGUGUUAUGGAAGUUGGAUUGGAUACCUUGGAAGAACAAGAGGAAAAAGAGAUCUUCUUUGCCAAGCUCGAACGAGAAGCUUCCUCUACGAUUGAUUAUUCAAGAUUAAAUCAAGAGCUGGAUUCCAAUGAUUCUAUCAUACUAGCACCAUUUGUUCGAAAUGAAAAUGCUGAAAAAGAAGAAGAACCUGCACAUGAAGAGAAACCUGGUAAUACAAUCUUUUACCUGUAGUUCUUAUAUCAGCCUUUCAGGCUGUACUUGCAUUAUGUCUCUGCAGCUGUUGUUCAU
rnacentral:lncRNA from 12 species